rnacentral:misc_RNA from 1 species
GUUCUUAGUACUUAGUACAUACUUAGUAGGUACACACUAAGUGUUUUAGUAUUUAUUUCUCAGUCUCAAGUUAAAACAAGAAUAGCUCUGCCUUAUUUUUAUAAUCCAUUGACAUUUAAUUUUUUUUCUGUAUAUUCGGGUUAUUAGUUUAGAAAUAAGCUUGCAUUCUAUUGUUUUAGUCGAUUUUAAUUCAUAGAUUUACUCUUAAGCACAGAAUGUGCGAGGCUUCUCUAAAUAUAGUGUAAUGGCGGCUCUAGUCAUCACUGCUAUCGUUUCAUCACGGGUUAAAGACGCCGAAAUGUCGAGUGAUGAGGACAAACCACCUGCGCCGCCGGUCCGGCUCACAAGCAACCGUGCCACGGACCGUGGCGACUCCGUGGCCUCAGUGGACAUGAGGCCUCUCCCAAAAGAACCUGAUGAUGGUGGUGAUAGGAAGAAGAAAACACUGAAAGCUAAAAUUAAAGGCUCUAAAAGUACUGCUCACAAUGACAACAAGCCUAACAUAAGCUACCCAACCAAUUUUGAGCACACGGUUCACGUUGGCUUUGAUGCAGUCACAGGAGAAUUCACUGGCAUGCCGGAGGCUUGGGCGCGGCUGCUCAUGGCCGCCAACAUCAGCAAGCAAGAGCAGAAGAACAACCCGCAGGCCGUGCUCGACGUGCUCAAGUGGUACGACGCCUCCGCCACGCAGCCACCGCCUUCCAAGUACAUGACGUCGGCACAAAUGCAUACAACACACUCAGGAUCUUCAGUGUCCAGAGUAUCCUCUAGUAGUCCAUCGUCAUCGACCCCCACGGACACUGAGCACCCCGAGCCUCCACCGCCGCCACCCUCGCGUCCAGAUCGCACCAAGAGCAUUUACACGAAGCCUAUUGAAGAGGAAGAGGCGCCACCUCCGCGGCCGGCUCCUGCGCCCGCGUCUCCCCCGCACGUGCCGCAUCCUGCCCUUACCACGCAUUCGAUCUGCAGCCGCGCGGAGGUGGGGUCGGGCGCGGUGCUGGACCGCAACAAGAACCCCGCGGGCGCCGCGCUGGCGCCGCACACGCCGCCGCCGCACGCGCCGCCGCCCAACGGCGCCCCGCUCACCGCCGACACACCAAGAGCGACUGCCCAGCAACAGAGGAAAAAGAAAAUGACUGAUGAGGAAAUAUUAGAAAAAUUAAGAACUAUCGUUAGUGUUGGCGACCCCAAUAGGAAAUAUACUAAAAUGGAGAAGAUUGGCCAGGGUGCAUCAGGUACAGUGUAUACGGCAAUAGAGACAUCGACAGGCAUGGAAGUAGCGAUCAAACAAAUGAACCUUAGCCAGCAGCCUAAGAAAGAACUGAUCAUAAAUGAAAUUCUCGUUAUGCGGGAGAACAAACAUAAUAAUGUAGUCAACUAUCUUGAUAGUUAUCUAGUUAAUGAAGAAUUGUGGGUGGUAAUGGAAUAUUUAGCGGGCGGUUCUCUGACCGACGUGGUGACGGAGACGUGUAUGGACGAAGGACAGAUCGCCGCCGUGUGCCGGGAGGUGCUGCAGGCGCUGCACUUCCUGCACACCAACCACGUUAUACACCGAGACAUCAAGUCCGACAACAUACUGCUUGGAUUAGAUGGACAAGUCAAGCUUACUGACUUCGGUUUCUGUGCCCAAAUAUCGCCUGAACAAAAUAAACGCACGACAAUGGUCGGCACGCCUUAUUGGAUGGCGCCUGAGGUUGUCACGCGGAAGCAGUAUGGCCCUAAGGUGGAUGUGUGGUCACUCGGUAUUAUGGCCAUUGAAAUGAUAGAGGGUGAGCCACCUUAUUUGAACGAGAAUCCGUUGCGAGCGCUGUACCUCAUAGCGACAAACGGCAAGCCGGACAUUAAGGAUAAAGAGAAGCUCAGCACAGUCUUCCAGGACUUCCUCGACCAGUGCCUCGAGGUGGACGUCGACAGGCGCGCCACCGCCCUCGAUUUAUUAAAGCACCCGUUCUUGAAAAUGGCGCGGCCGCUGGCGUCGCUGACGCCGCUGAUCAUGGCGGCGAAGGAGGCGGCCAAGGGCCAUUAGCGCAGGCCGCCGGCGCCGCCCGCGCCCGCCCGGCCCUAGCCUCAGUGCCUACCCGUGGACUCACGCAGCCGAACCUGUUCACAGACGGUGAAGCACCAUGUGGAAAUCUGUGACGGAAAUCUAAAUAGAAAGCAAUACCUAUUUUAAAUGUAAAACUGCUGCCGAUUGGAUAUAAUAGAGUUGUCGUGUCGUGAGGGUGGUGUUGGUCGCGCGUCGUCACCGCGGUCGCGACGCAGUGUCCAGCCGGCAGCCAUCCAGGAGGAGCACAGGCGGGACGGGACAAGACGGGGCAGUUCAGGUGGCGAGGACAAAUGUAUAUUAUUCAUCAUGCGCAUUCCACAACGGUUACGGUGACGUCACAAUAGAGGCGUGUAACAGAUCACGAGUGAUGCAGAAUACCAAUGUUAAGGCCGCAUCCAUAUUGGAUCGUGUGAUCAUUCGUGUAUUGUUUGUGAUCGCCCAACCAGAGCGGUGAACGAGAUUAGAGUAAAUAUGUAAAAUAGCAUGAAUACAUUGCAAUAUUAUUUGCGAGUGAGGUGUGUUUAUAUGGGCAACGUUUGACAUACAGUGCAUUUCCAAAUGUUAUACGCAGAUAGAUAAAGCAUCAAAUUGAAAUUAACCAGUGAUUACCAAUCAAGGCCGACUUACGUUUGUUGUAGAGAGUCAGGAUUGUGUCGGAGGAUGGUCAAAGGUACGGGGAAGACAGAAAAAAGAUAAAAUGUAUUAGCACCAGAAUCCACUUUCCCGUCACCUGGCUUUAUGGCAGGCAUAAAUAAACUAUUCAAAGUAAUAUUUACAUGUAAAUUGGGAUCAAUCAAUAUCUACUGACAAAAUAGGGACACCAUUCAUAUUUUAACAAGUACCUUAAUAAGUACUUGUCAGUUGUUACUGGUAUUUCAUUAAGAUAUUGAGUUAAUAUUUCAUGACUUCGAGCAUAUAAUUUCCAAUAAUUACAUAAAAGUAAAUAUAAUACAUACUUACACUUACAAUAUUUUCUUACAGGGUUAAUCGUGCAUUUCACAAGAUCAAAACUAAAGCACAUGCUUGAUUGUUAGGUAUAUUUUUCGAAAUCUAAAUAUGUAUUCAGAAGCACUUUUUAAAGGGGUAAAGUAACCAAAAAUAAUAUUAUGGUACUCUAUUUUGUUCUGUAGCUAUAGACAUUUGCUUGUUUAGGCUAAUCCAAUAUCUUGGAAGCCUAUUGUUAAAAUAUGAUACAUAUUAUAUUAUGUAUAUAUAUACAUGUGAAAGGACUUCACAAAUACUAUUGUUCCAAUGCAGUCUGUAUUCAUAACAUUUACGAGAUAUGGUAUGAAACAAAACAUAUCUAUCUCUAAUAACAAAUAUGGAUCUGUGAGAAAAAUGAGAACAAAGAUAAUUUAUCACAGAUUGAAGAGAUAUUGUUUUAUUUUUACUAUGAGUUCUAGUGGGGAAUGAAAUAUAAUAAACAGUCAG